GGUGCCUUGAGCCAUCCUAGGAGGCAUCCCAAGUAACAACAUUAAGAACGUAUAAAUGUUUGAACUGUGCAGACUUCUUGUUGUGAGAAAAAAAGCCUGCAGCCAAUGAGAUAGAAAUGGAGAGAAGGGCAAUAGCAGCUUGCACAUGUCAAGGAUCUGCAGCGCAUGAAACCCCUUAAACUGAAGAUGAUGUUCCUGAAGCCUAGAGAUGUCAGCACUCGCAGUCAGCCGCUUUAUCAUCCAUUGCUCCAUUAACCUCAUCCACCUGGUCAACACAAUUCAAACAUACCAGUUAAAACAGAUAUGGGUGCAAGUCAUGACACUUUUACAGAUUAAAGAUGUCCGAGAUUCACGAUGAAUGCUGUUUGAAGAAGAAUGAACAGAAUGAACAGAAUCACAUUUUAAUUUAAUCUCACUGCCAAUGUGGACUUAAAGAGGACAGGCUUUGUUAUGACAACUGUAUUUUUAAGUAACAGAGAUAAGGGUGUUAUUGGAAUCAUUUCAAUAAAAUAUGGGAGUACCGGUACAUACCAGUUUGAUAUCUUGAUUAGACUGGGACUUAAACAAAAAUGGUAGAUAUUGGACCUCUCUAAUACACAUUAUAAACAUCUCAUGUCUUAAGUCAAUAACAAAGCUGUAAUAAGGCGAUAUUUAGUGUAAUUAACACUUAGGGCUAUUCUUCUAAAACAUAUAACCACCGGGUUUGGCAGAUUUUUAAUAAUAUAUGGUUGGGCUUUUUUGCUAAUUUGCACCCCAAAAGGCACAUUUGCUUUUGUAUGGGGUUGGCAUAAAAACUUAAUAAAUGCCUUCCCUCCAGUGGUUAUAUUUUUAAAUGGAAUAGCCCUUAUCAACAUUUUUAGCUGGACUAUUUGAAUAAUAAGGAGGGUUAUACCACUCGCCUCAGCAUCUGCUUUGGCUUUAGCGUCCGGUUAAAGUUUAAGACCAAGUUGGGAUUUUCACUCAUAACUGCAAAACCCUUCAUUAAAGUCACUUAAUACUCCAUACAGUUGUUCAGGGCCAUUACAUAAUGAUGUUAAUACUUCAAUAGCCUUCAUUCAAUGGACUUAAUACCUUGCACAAUUAAUGAUGAACAUCUUACAAUAAGGUGACAUAACUCCAUUUUAACUAAAUACAAAUUAUUGCCCUUUUUUCAUUUUUAUUUCUUAUGUCAGGCACAUUUAUAUAUUCUUAACAGGGUUUUUGAAAGCUAAUUGUUUGGGCGGGCUGGUGGAAGGGUCUUCAA